UAGAUUGAAGCCCGCUGGUUUAGGCAUUUAGUUGUUAAUUAAAGAGUUACGGGAUCAAGGCCCGUCGAUCUAG
rnacentral:tRNA from 1 species